AACCCCAGCCGUAAACCCCCGACCCUAUAAAAACUAUGAGGGGCGCUGCUUCUUGUCCAGGGAAUGAAUGCUGCUCAAAUCUGAUCCUGAGUCAUUCGAGAGAUCGAGGGCGGCUAUAGAGUUGGCGCUCCCCCUCUAUAUAUAUGGGCCUCCCCUCCCCUCAACGAUAUAUUGUAUUAUCCACAUAUAUAGUUCGAGGUUGUCGAGGCCCCGGCUACCUAUAUGGCCCGACGGUUAAGUCCUUCACCCACUCUUUGUCCUACCUGACUUGUCUCAGAACCCUCAGUCCAAUGCGGCCAAACUCUAAGACAGAGUAAGAAACUAAGAAUGUAUGUUAUCAGUGUGGUUAAUUGAUUCGGUCUCAGCGUCUGCUUAUUAUGGCGGAGGAGGAAACGGAUGGAAGGCAACCUCUGCAACCUUGUACGGAGACUCUGAUGCUCUCGGCAUCAUGGGUAAAAAAACAUAAAUUCUUUUGGUUUUUUUAUUCAUAUUUAGUGACGGUCUUUCCUGGAGACAGCAGUUUCAUUGAGGCAUUCUGUCAAACAGUUUACAUGCCCUGUCAAUGCUUCCACAUUCUGUAGACGUGCCUAACGGGGAGGCACAUAGGGUGGAAUUUGGCCUUACACUUGCGAGGUGCAUACACUUGUUCUUAUCGCAGAGUAGAAAUUGUUCCAUUCAAGUUACAAGGUCACUAUUAUAUAGAGAGGUCUGUACUGGUAAAUCACCAUUGUACCAGGAGUUGCUCAUAUUUUGUUUUCACGGAAUGGCUCUCCAAAAAACAUUUUGAAAGGUGACCAUCACUUUCGAAGCAGUGCAGCUGAAAAAGUGCAUUUUGUAGAAAAUCAAUACUGAUGGGUCUUCAAUGGGCAAUCUCGGACAUGUUGGUAUUGGUGGAGUGGGACGUGAUAGCUUGGGGCAAGUUCAGUUUUUGUUUUCUAUUUACAAAGUUUUUCACAUGAAUAAUUAUAUGGAGGCUUUUGCUAUUUUGGUUGCAUUGAGGUGUCGUUGUACUCUUCGUUGGCAACAAAUUGUUGUAGAGUCGGACUCCCAGGUUGUGGUGACUCUGUUGAACCAACAAAAGUGUGAUGGUGUUAGUUGACAGUUACAGUUGGUUAUUCGUCAGAUUCUUUUGCUUUGUAACUCCUUUGAGUCUAUUACUUUCAUUCAUAUCCCCAAGGAAUGGAAUGGUGUGGCUGAUUGUCUUGCUAAGUGGGCUUCUGUCUUUAUGGAGGGCUGGUCUAUUGAGGAUAGGGGACAACUUUCUCCGGAACUGUCUCAUUAGUUGGAUCAACUUGUUAAUCAUGACAAGUCUUUGUAAUCCUCUCUUUGCUAGACUUUUGUUUUCUGUUGUCGUAUUUCUUCUAUUUUGAAUAAAUUUUUACCCCUCUUUAUUGUCAA